rnacentral:sRNA from 1 species
UGUCAUGGAAGGCGCCCCUUUC